AACGAACGCUGGCGGCAUGCCUAACACAUGCAAGUCGAACGAGACCUUCGGGUCUAGUGGCGCACGGGUGCGUAACGCGUGGGAACCUGCCCUUAGGUUCGGAAUAACUCCCCGAAAGGGGUGCUAAUACCGGAUAAUGUCUUCGGACCAAAGAUUUAUCGCCUUUGGAUGGGCCCGCGUUGGAUUAGCUAGUUGGUAGGGUAAAAGCCUACCAAGGCGACGAUCCAUAGCUGGUCUGAGAGGAUGAUCAGCCACACUGGGACUGAGACACGGCCCAGACUCCUACGGGAGGCAGCAGUGGGGAAUAUUGGACAAUGGGCGAAAGCCUGAUCCGGCAAUGCCGCGUGAGUGAUGAAGGCCUUAGGGUUGUAAAGCUCUUUUACCCGGGAUGAUAAUGACAGCACCGGGAGAAUAAGCUCCGGCUAACUCCGUG
rnacentral:rRNA from 1 species